rnacentral:lncRNA from 1 species
GAGGCCGCAGGGGCGCGUGGACACGGUGUGCUCCAAGCGGGGAAAAUGGUUGUUGUCCGAGUGAAAGAAAAAUGUGCUUAGGAGAGGAUUUCAUGCCUCGCCUUAGCCAGCGCAAUUCGUCUCGAGGUGACCAUUUAUUCCUGGCUCACAAGUUCGCAAGUCUGUGAAAAACAAUCCCAUCGCCCCGAGGAUACUUCAGGAUGGAGCGGAGGGCGAGAGUGCAGUUGUGUUCGUGAGAGCCCUCCCGAUGUGCUCCUAUUGUGCUUCUAUUGAAGAAUAAAAGGCUUCUGCCUCUCCAGACGAGAACUUGUCAGAUAUUUUAAGUCUGGUUUUCAGUCUUUUUUUUUUUUUUUUUUUUUGUAAAUGCUCUGGUAGAGACCAGAAGAAGGUGUCAGACGUCUGUCUUAGAAGUGGAGUUAAGAGUUGUGAGCUGGUGUUUUGGUUCUGGGACUCUGACACUAUCAACCAGCAAGCCAACUCUUCAGCUACGUAAGACUUCGGGAGAACCAGAGAUAUGGUGCCAGGCCUGCCAACUUGAGUUCAAUAGCAGAACCCACACAGUAGCAAAAGAACCAACUCUGACCUUCCCCUUCCCCCUCCCCAUCCUCUCCCCUCCCCUGCCCCUCCCCAGUAGUCACUCCAGAGACACCCAAAAUAAAAAUUUUAAAUGUAAA